CCCUAAUGCUGCUGUAUGAGGAUUGGAUGAGAUAUAAGCUGUCUGAUAAUAUUUAAUUGAAUUUAAUUUUUUAUUUAAAAAGUUAAAAUAAUUUAAAAAGACGAGAAGACCCUAUAGAGUUUUAUAUUAAAUUAAAUUAAAAUUAUUUAUAUAAUUAUUAAUAUAGAUUUAAUUUUAGUAUUUUGUUGGGGUGACAAAAAAAUAAAUAAAACUUUUUUUAUUAUUUACAUAAAUAAAUGAAUUUUUGAUCCAAUUUUAUUGAUUAAAAGAAAAAAUUACCUUAGGGAUAACAGCGUAAUUUUUUUUUUUAGUUCUUAUUAAAAAAAAAGUUUGCGACCUCGAUGUUGGA
rnacentral:rRNA from 1 species